UAUUUCUGAAAGUGGCGCACGGGUGAGUAAUACGUAGGUGACCUGCCUUGAAGUGGGGGAUAACAGUUGGAAACGACUGCUAAUACCGCAUAUUGCCGGGCUGUCGGGAGACAGGCUGGUGAAAACUCUGGUGCUUCAAGAGGGGCCUACGGCCGAUUAGCUAGUUGGCGGGGUAAGAGCCCACCAAGGCGACGAUCGGUAGCUGGUCUGAGAGGACGAUCAGCCACACGGGAACUGAGACACGGUCCCGACUCCUACGGGGGGCAGCAGUGAGGAAUAUUGGGCAAUGGGCGCAAGCCUGACCCAGCAACGCCGCGUGGAGGAAGACGGCCUUCGGGUUGUAAACUCCUUUUACGGGGGAAGAGGAAGGACGGUACCCCGAGAAUAAGUCACGGCUAACUACGUGCCAGCAGCCGCGGUAAUACGUAGGUGACAAGCGUUAUCCGGAAUUACUGGGCGUAAAGCGCACGCAGGCGGCGCAUUAAGUCUGACGUGAAAUCUCCUGGCUUAACUGGGAGGGGUCGUUGGAGACUGAUGUGCUUGAGGCGAUGAGAGGGGUGUAGAAUUCCCGGUGUAGUGGUGGAAUGCGUAGAUAUCGGGAGGAAUACCAGUGGCGAAAGCGACACCCUGGCAUUAGCCUGACGCUCAUGUGCGAAGGCGUGGGGAGCGAACGGGAUUAGAUACCCCGGUAGUCCACGCGGUAAACGAUGAAUACUAGGUGUGGGUGGAGUGAAAUCCAU
rnacentral:rRNA from 1 species